CAACAGGGAUUACCUCAGUAACGGCGAGUGAAGCGGUAAAAGCUCAAAUUUGAAAUCUGGCUCUUUCAGAGUCCGAGUUGUAAUUUGUAGAAGAUGCUUCGGGUGUGGUUCCGGUCUAAGUUCCUUGGAACAGGACGUCAUAGAGGGUGAGAAUCCCGUAUGUGACUGGAUACCUAUGCUCAUGUGAAGCUCUUUCGACGAGUCGAGUUGUUUGGGAAUGCAGCUCAAAAUGGGUGGUAUAUUUCAUCUAAAGCUAAAUAUUGGCCAGAGACCGAUAGCGCACAAGUAGAGUGAUCGAAAGAUGAAAAGCACUUUGGAAAGAGAGUUAAACAGUACGUGAAAUUGUUGAAAGGGAAGCGCUUGCAAUCAGACUUGCACUUGGUGUUCAUCAGGGUUUCGUGCCCUGUGUACUUCAUCAAGUUCAGGCCAGCAUCAGUUUGAGUGGUUAGAUAAAGGCUUGGAGAAUGUGGCCCUCUUCGGGGGGUGUUAUAGCUCCAGGUGCAAUGUAGCCUACUUGGACUGAGGACCGCGCUUCGGCUAG
rnacentral:rRNA from 1 species